UUCACCGGACGGCCUUUUAACAUAACUGAUGGUUGUUUUUACUUAGCUAUUGGGUGUAGUUGUUGUUCAUUUAAUAAAGAUUUUUGAUAUUAUAAACGAAUUGUUCAUAUUUUAUGCCCGAAGUUAACACAAAUGGCAGUACAGCAGAUCAUUCGAUACAUGCUGAGACAAGAAUUCACAUUUCUACCACUAUGCUAAAUAUCAAUAUGCUACGUUGAAAAUUGUACUAGACGGUACUGCUAAUAAUAAUGGUUUUGUGCAACGUGCGUGUAAUGGAUGGCAGUACAGCAGAUCAUUCAAUACACGCUGAGACAUGAAUUCACAUUUCUACCACUAUGCUAAAUAUCAAUAUGCUACGUUGCAAAUUGUACUGACAUUGUAUUGACAUUCAAAUAUUACAUUUAAGAUGAUACUUCAUACACACAAUAAAACAUGAUUUUACAUGAUGGCAGUACAGCAGAUCACUCGAGGCAUGCUGAGACCAUGAAUUAACAUUUCUAUCACUUGGGAAAGUUACAACAUCUUCCGUUGAAAAUGGAAUAGAAGUUGGUAGUAUAUCAGAUCAAUCAAGGCACGCUGAGACACGAAUUCACAUUUCUACCACUAUGGAAAAUAUCAACAACCUACAUUGAAAACGGACUAGACGAUACCGCUAAUAAUAAUAGUUUAUGCAACGUGCGUGUAAUGGAUGGUAGUACAGCAGAUCACUCAAUACAUGUUGAGACAUGAAUUCACAUUUCUACCACUAUGGAAAAUAUCAACAACCUAUGUUGAAAACGGACUAGACGAUACUGCUAAUAAUAAUGUUUUAUGCAACGUGCGUGUAAUGGGUA